CUGGAACUGUCCAGAUCAUGGAUCACGGUUUGUGUAGGGGCUGGGGAGCUCGACAAGGGCACACUCAGUAGAAGAGUGGGGACAAAGGACUCCUUGGAGUGAGUUCUAGAGAAAUACAAGGAGUACUGAGCCCACCCAAUGGAUGGAGAAGAGUAUCCCUCCUGUCAGGGGAAGAUAACCACAGAGAGAAGAGUGGAACUGAGGUCUCCUGUUCUGCCUCCUUCUAGCACAAGAAUACACAAGAUGUAAUAAUACUUGGUUAUAGCCCUGACUGGUGUGGCUCAGUGGGUUGGGCGUCGUUCCACAAAACGAAAGGUCACUGGUUCAGUUCCCAAUCAGCACAUGCCUGCAUUGCAUGAGAGGUGGCAGAUUGACAUCUGUCUCCAGAACUUUUUCAUCAUCCCAAACAGAAACUCUGAACCCAACAUGCAAAAAUUCCCCUUGCUUCGGUCCCUGGAAACCACGAAUCUGCCUUCUGUCUGGGGACUGUCUGCACAAAGAAGAGGGACAGCGGAUGAUCACACAGCGAAACAGCGACAAGCUCCUACAGGAAGGAGAGUGAGCAAGAGCAGCAACAGGCAUGACUGCGGAGGAAUCUCACAGAUGUCACAUGAGAAAGAAUCCUGGCGCAAACAGGACGUGCCCUGCGAUCCCUUCUCCGUGAAGAGUAAUAAGGGCGCCCCCCUGUGCCCGCUGGAGUUACAGCAGUGCUUACCCGUGAGCCUACGAGUGCGAGUACAUGUGUAGGGGCCUGGGAGGAGGCAGGCGGGGGUGUCUUGCUUCUUGGUGGGGGCAUUGCUUACGCAGAUGUGUUAACCUUGUAAACG